UACGUAGGGUGCAAGCGUUAAUCGGAAUUACUGGGCGUAAAGCGUGCGCAGGCGGUUUUGUAAGUCUGUCGUGAAAUCCCCGGGCUUAACCUGGGAACUGCAUUGGUGACUGCAGCGCUGGAGUAUGGCAGAGGGGGGUGGAAUUCCACGUGUAGCAGUGAAAUGCGUAGAGAUGUGGAGGAACACCGAUGGCGAAGGCAGCCCCCUGGGCCAAUACUGACGCCUCAUGCACGAAAGCGUGGGGAGCGAAACAAGGAU
rnacentral:rRNA from 1 species